AAAAAGACAAACCCUGAGUAUCCGUGUCCAACGUUUGACGAUCCGUCUUAUAUAAAAUUUUUUUACAAUUAGUACUUUUAUUGUUAUUAGAUAAUAAAACAUGAAUAAUAAUUUAUGCGUGACUUAUGUUUUUAA
rnacentral:pre_miRNA from 1 species